CCCCCGGCCAUCCCACACCAGCGACUGUUCCCAGACACCUUGCCCCCCCCUCCCCGAUGCGGGGACCCGGGUUCUCGCCGCCAGGUGAAUGGGACACGGGAAGGUGUCACCGGUACCGGGGGCUGCGGUGCCGCCCACUGCGCUCUGCAGUGCCGCGCUGUGUCCGCCAGGCGGCGCCACUGUGCGGGAGAGAGGGGCGGGGCCGAGAGGGGCGGGGCCAAGCCGCGCCCGGACCAGCGGUCACGUGACGGGCGGCCCCCGAGGCUUCAAAAGCUCCCCGGGCCGGCGGGGGGCGCCGCUCCGGCGGGCGCACGCGCAGAGGCGGGAGGGGGGCCGGCGGGAGCGGGUGCCGGUGCGGGCUCUGCCGGGCCCGGGGCAGCUGCUGCCGGGGGAGCUGGCUUCCACUCGGCGGGGGCCGCGGGGCGGCUCUGGGCCCUGCGCGGAGCCGGGCUCGGACCGGAGCCCCUUUGGUCCCGACGGCCCCGAGGCGGCGAGGACGUGCCCGCUCCAGCUCCAGCCUGUGCAGCUUCAAGCCUGUUUGCGGUUCCAGCUCCCUCUGCAGCUGCUUCUGGUUCCAGUUGUUCUGCAGCUCCAGCUCCAGUUCAGCUCAUUUCAGCUUGUGCUUGUUCCAUUGAGCUUGGCCUUGGGCCAGAUCGUAAAUCAAUCACUGUCACAAGCUGCCUAGGAAUAUGACACAUGAAUAAAUAUGAACCAAUUAUCUAAUAA